UCUUAGAGAUAUGAGAUACGGGCGCGGGAGCAGUAGCCGCCACCCACUCAUUACAGCACACUGCCGGCGCAACUGAGUCAUCUGAGAGGGAGGGGGAAGCCCCCCUCUAGGAAUGCGCGAGAUCAGAGCUCAUAAUAGGUGAGGAUCUCAAUCCGCAGCGGGAGAAACGCCGCGAGCGGUCAGUGCAAUAGAUAGCCCUUGAUCCAACUGAACAGCUCAGAAUAGAGAUAAGGAACAAAGUCCUGACUGGUUCAGCCCAGGAUAUUAAGUCCUGACUGGCGCAGCUCAGGAAAGAAAAACAGCUUAGACAAACAGCAAAGGCAGAUACUAGCCAGAGCAAUAACACACGACCCUGCCGGAGCGAGACAGGGCGAAGACUGGAGCCUGAGGGGAUUGACCCUCCCUCCUGCUACAGGAGGAAAAGCUCUCUGAUUGGCCCUGUCUCGGAGCAGGAGGUCGUGACAACCCAUCAUGCCUUUCGGAUGCCAUCCUCUUCUGAGGGAGAAGAGGGCUCUCUCAAAAGCAGAGUGACAUCACCGGCCAGUAGACCGAUCCCUGCACCCCACUGCUCUUUCCCCAGCCGACACUUGAUAAUGUUGAGCUCCUAAGAGCAGGCAGAUCGCAGUUAUUGCCGGCAGCUGGCUGACAGUAUAUAAGUCAAAGAAAUGGCCUCACUGUGGGGCAUCCAGCUUGGGGUACCAUCAAGGACCAAACCAGAAGAGAUGAUGGAGAUGAAUGAUUGCAUCUUUGGUCUUGAAAUGUUUGCAAGCAACUGCCAUGGUGAAGAGGGUGGGUGAGGUGAAGUGGGGAAUGCAGAUUAAGACCUUGCAUCGUAUUUUUGAUGAAAAUCCCUCCCCACCUGCGAUGUAGGAAAAACGUGUGUGGCCCUCAGAGCAGCAAAGUGGGAGCUGGACAUCUGAGAGCUCUUUCACAGCUCCUGUUCAUUGACAGUGAUAAAUGUUUGUUUAUUGCAUCUCAUAUUUUGACCCCAAGGCAGCAUACAAGACAUAAGAUAUGAAUUCGUAAUAAAAACAACAAUGUAAAAAAACCUAAAUUUUAGCUAAAAAUAGACGCAGGAGCAAAUAAAACCAUAUCUGCAAAA